CCUAGUGACAAUAGCGGAGAGGAAACACCCGUUCCCAUUCCGAACACGGAAGUUCCCAUUCCGAACACGGAAGUUAAGCUCUCCAGCGCCGAUGGUAGUUGGGGCCAGCGCCCCUGCGAGAGUAGGUCGUCGCUAGGC
rnacentral:rRNA from 1 species